UCCUCGGUAGUAUAGUGGUUAGUAUCCGCGCCUGUCACGUGCGAGUCCCCGGGUUCAAUUCCCGGCGGGGGAG